rnacentral:rRNA from 1 species
CCUACGGGUGGCAGCAGUAGGGAAUCUUUCACACUGGGCGAAAGCCUGAUGGAGCAACGCCGCGUGCAGGAUGAAGGCCUUCGGGUUGUAAACUGCUUUUAUAAGCGAGAAAUAUGAUGGUAACUUAUGAAUAAGGAUCGGCUAACUACGUGCCAGCAGCCGCGGUCAUACGUAGGAUCCGAGCAUUAUCCGGAGUGACUGGGUGUAAAGAGUUGCGUAGGUGGGAUAGUAAGUAGCUAGUGGAAUCUGGGGGCUUAACCAUUCAGACUAUUAGCUAAACUGCUAAGCUCGAGACCGGUAGGGGUAAACGGAAUUUAUGGUGUAGGAGUGAAAUGCGUAGAUAUUAUAAAGAACACCGAUAGCGUAGGGAGGUUA